AAUUUUGGACAAUGGGGGAAACCCUGAUCCAGCCAUCCCGCGUGUGCGAUGAAGGCCUUCGGGUUGUAAAGCACUCUUGUCAGGGAAGAAAUCGUACAGGCGAAUAUCCUGUGCGGAUGACGGUACCUGAAGACUAAGCACCGGCUAACUACGUGCCAGCAGCCGCGGUAAUACGUAGGGUGCAAGCGUUAAUCGGAAUUACUGGGCGUAAAGGGUGCGCAGGCGGUUUAUCAAGAAAGGUGUGAAAUCCCCGGGCUUAACCUGGGAAUGGCACUUUUAACUGGUAGGCUAGGGUAUGUCAGAGGGGGGUAGGAUUCCACGUGUAGCAGUGAAAUGCGUAGAGUUGUGGAGGAAUACCGAUGGCGAAGGCAGCCCCCUGGGAUAAUACUGACGCUCAUGCACGAAAACGUGGGGAGCAAACA
rnacentral:rRNA from 1 species